rnacentral:lncRNA from 1 species
CCGCCGUCAUGGUUUAAUAUUUUCGAUCAGAUACUGUCGGGGAAAAAAAGACAAAAUGUUGCAGAUUUCUUCAGCAUGAGCAUUUUGUGGGUAUAAAAUAUCGGCCAUGUUUCACUUCCUUCAGAAUGCAUUGGCAUACAGUAGAAUAAAUUAAAGGUCAUUUUACAUCUACUUCCUUGGACUUUUGCUUGAUACUUUCCACAACCUCUGUAACACAAAGCAGCUUUACUGAUAAAUGUUUGUUUCUUUUCAGAAAAUUGGAUUUUCCUUUAUUCUUUCAAUGGGAUCCUCCUGACUGGAGGAUAAUAGAGUAUCUUCAUGAGUCUUCUGGGCAUCGUUGAGAAACAGUGUACUGCUGUAAUGCUGCUCAGCUUAAAAGCCAAAACACCUUUGAUGGAGGAUGAACGCUGCCGAUCCAAGCUGCCCCUCAUGUGCUUGACAAGACUAAAGACACUGCUCAGCCAUGAGCGAAGCAGUUUCAGCAUCCCUCUCUGCCGCGGGCUAAUUGGCUGAUUGACCUAUAGUCACCUCUGAUGUCUCUUUCACAUUUAGUGUGACAGAGACAUCAGAGGCAGGGAUAAAAAAAUUGUACUGAUUCUUUACUUCUCCUUUAACUUGUGCAAAACACAGCAGCUAGGGUUAUCACAACUCAAAAAUAUGACCACAUUUCACCCAUUCUCGUCUCAUUGCACUGGUUACCCAUAGUUCUUAGAAUGGAUUUUAUGACUUGUUUUUAAUUCACUGAAUGGCCUUGCACUGCAUUGAUUAGCAGACCCUCUCAUCUCUUAUGCCCCUGCUCGUCCUUGUUGUUCCGUUUCUAUCCGUUGCUCUCAGGACUUGAGACAGAGGGAGGUAGGUCUUUCACUGUGGGGGCUCCACAACUGUGGAACGACCUCCACCUACAGUUGCCUCUUUUAAAACUCUUAAAAAUGCAUUUCGAUAAAAUGGCUUUCCGACUAAACGUCUUGCAUUACCUUGUUUAAAAUUGUAAUUCCAUUGUGUUUAUUUUCUGUUUUUUAUGUCUGUGAAGCACUUUGUGAAACCUGUUUUUUUAAAAGUUCUAUAUAAAUACAGCACAGUAACAUGAUAUUAUUAUCUCUCCUGUACACGAGAAGUCUUUCAAACUUCAUACAACCAGUUUCUAACCAAUUAUCAUUUUAUAAGGUUUAUCUCCUGCAAAGCUGCAAAAAAUAUUAUUGUCUUUAGUUUCCCUGUUUAGUAGUGAGAUUUGUUAGGUCAUACGAUAUGACUCGAAAUCAGUAAGGCACCCCACAGUUUACAGUAGAUGAAGAUUGUUUUUGAUGAAUGUUGCAAGUGAUCAGUUAUAUUUAAUAUUGCACAAGAACCCCCUCCCAUGAAGGCUGCCAUAUGUCCAGUAAAACGUUAUCUAUGAAAAAAUCUCCAUACUGAGCUGUGAGAAAUGAAACAGCCAGCAAUUCAAGCGUGGAAGGACAGUGUUAAAGUCUUACAACUGAAGUAAUUAUGAUGGGAAAUAGAAGAAGAAGAGCCUGAAGGCCCUUAAAUGCCACAGUUGAUUUAAUAAAAACAAAUGUAUUUAAUUUGAUUAUUUUUAAUUUGAUUUCACUGCCAUGGUCAUGAUGAUGUGAUUUACGGUAGAGCUUCUAGGCCCACAAGGUUUGGGAAUAUGGAUUGCAUUAUGCCAGUAAGGGUCCUUAUAAGUAUGGCGAUACGUAUGUAUGUGAGUGAGACCACACACCGGAAAUGAACUGCAGUCUGAUGAUGACAAAGUGGAGAGCAGAAAUACACUCCUCUGCAAAAUCAGAUCACCGAGGCAUUAGAGGUGAUGUCACAUUUAAAGGGGCGGUGCAGGUAAUGAGGAAGUCCUCACUGAUAUUUCUGAGAUGCUGAUAAUAUUAUGUAAAUAUAUAUCAUACUUUAUUAGUACUGUACAGAAAUUGUGCAAUCGUGUUGACCCUUCUCGGCCACCGUAGUAUUAUGUGCAGAUUGAUGUUUUACAAAGACAAUACAACAGCAAAAUGUCUCAUAUAUAUAUAUAUAUUUGAAUUUUGUCAUGUUGACUCUCCUACAGUAACAUUUUGCAGGUGGCAACACAAUUUC